CCCUACGGGGCGCAGCAGGCGCGGAACCUCUACAAUGCGCGCAAGCGUGAUAGGGGAACCCCAAGUGCUUUCACAACGAAAGCUUUUUUAGUGCGUAAAAAACACUUAGAAUAAGGGCUGGGCAAGACCAGUGCCAGCCUCCGCGGUAACACUGGCAGCUCGAGUGGUAGCCGCGUUUAUUGGGCUUAAAGCGUCCGUAGUCGGUUUGACAAGUUCCCUAUGAAAUCCUAUCGCUUAACGAUAGGGCUUGUAGAGAAUACUAUCAAACUUGGAGUCGGGAGGGGUUAGGAGUAUUCCUGAGGUAGCGGUGAAAUGUUAUAAUCUCAGGAGGACUACCUAUGGCGAAGGCACCUAACUGGAACGAGCUCGACGAUGAGGGACGAAAGCUAGGGGAGCAAACCGGAUUAGAUACCCGGGUAGUCCUAGCCGUAAACGAUGUGGGCUGAGUGUUUCUUGAAUUUAGUGUUCAAGAAGUGCUGAAGGGAAACCGUUAAGCCCAUCGCCUGGGGAGUACGGUCGCAAGGCUGAAACUUAAAGGAAUUGGCGGGGGAGCAC
rnacentral:rRNA from 1 species